GGCCGGGCAAGACUCUGGUCAGAUGCAUCUGGUAAAGUCCCUCAGUCAUGCAGAGGUAUUCUGAUGGGUGGCCCAAGCAGAAUUUCUAGCCAUAAUCCCA